rnacentral:rRNA from 1 species
AUACGGAGGGUGCAAGCGUUAUCCGGAUUUAUUGGGUUUAAAGGGUGCGCAGGCGGACCUGUCAGUCAGUGGUGAAAUCCCGGGGCUCAACCCCGGAACCGCCAUUGAUACUACAGGUCUAGAAUACGGUUGAAGUAGGCGGAAUGUAGCAUGUAGCGGUGAAAUGCAUAGAUAUGCUACAGAACACCGAUCGCGAAGGCAGCUUACUAAGCCGAUAUUGACGCUCAGGCACGAAAGCGUGGGUAGCGAACAGGAUUAGAUACCCUAGUAGUCC